GGAAGUGUCUUUCAAUUACUUCCUGCCUCUUCAUUUCCCAUCUGUUGCCUUUUCAAAAUUGAAUGAGGAGCAAGAGUCAAGGCAGCUGCCACUGUUGCUGCUGCCAGAACUCUCAGGAAAACAACAUUCUGUAUACAUUAGCCCUUUUCCGGACCUCUGGACCAGUCCGGCGGUUUGGCCAGUUUGACCAGUGGGGAGGUGACCUUUAAGCAGGAGGAAGUAGAGGGAUCUGAAAUUGGCUGUACUGAACUGGCAAGAGGAAUGCACACAGAUAUUUCCUUCGUUUCUUCUCUCCUUCACAUGUAUAUUAGUGAAAUGUCCUUUUCAGGAGAUCUAUAGGAGAAAUCUAAAAAUAUUUUCUUAUCCUGGGCAGGAGAUACAUGAAGACCUGGAAGAACAGACUUUAUCAGACUAUGAAUUAUGGCAACUGUUCAUUAAAUCUGUUGGUGAUCCAA